rnacentral:rRNA from 1 species
GAUCAUGGCUCAGGAUGAACGCUGGCGGCGUGCUUAACACAUGCAAGUCGAACGAAGCACAUGGGCAGAUUUCUUCGGAUUGAAGCAUAUGUGACUGAGUGGCGGACGGGUGAGUAACGCGUGGGUAACCUGCCUUUCACAGGGGGACAACAGCUGGAAACGGCUGCUAAUACCGCAUAACCCGCUAGGGCUGCAUGGCCCAGACGGAAAAGGAGCAAUCCGGUGGAAGA